rnacentral:rRNA from 1 species
AUACGGAGGGUGCAAGCGUUACUCGGAAUCACUGGGCGUAAAGCGCGCGCAGGCGGUCUUUUAAGUUGGAUGUGAAAGCCUACGGCUCAAGCGUAGAACUGCAUCCAAAACUAUUAGACUAGAGUGUGGGAGAGGAAGAUGGAAUUAGUUGUGUAGGGGUAAAAUCCGUAGAGAUAACUAGGAAUACCAAAAGCGAAGGCAAUCUUCUGGAACACUACUGACGCUGAGGCGCGAAAGCGUGGGGAGCAAACAGGAUUAGAUACCCUAGUAGUCC